GUGUGGUCCACAUGUGGAGCAUGUGCAAGCAGGGAGCCAUGCUGGGCAUGAUGGGAAUCAUGCCUGCCUUUCACAGCUUGCUGUGAGUCAGUGCAGCAGCAGUGACAACACAACAGCCAAGCAGGGACUAAGUCGCUCCUGACUUAACUCAAGCUGCAGCAACAUCGAAAAAGAAUGUGAACUCCAUGAAAGAGACAACUUUGUCAACCCCAACUCAUACUUAUUAUUCCCGAAGUCGUGUCUAAGGUAUACAACACCUUCAGGAAGCACACGUUUCAUUUAACAGGAAUCUCAUGGAGAAGUCUAAACACUGGUGAAAUGCUGGUUUAGCAUCUCUGUGAAGACAAUGAAUUUCUGAAACAGAAACAAAAUAAAGGGAACCACUAAGGCCUGAGCUUGUAAUCCCAGCAUUGGGGCGUGGAAACAGGAGGAUCCUUGAGACUGGUU